GGUAACUCAGUGGUGGAGCAUCUGCUUUGCAUGCAGAAGGUCCCAGGUUCAAUUCUUGGCAUCUCCA